UUUUCUCAGGGAAGAAUUCUGACGGUACCUGAGGAAUCAGCCUCGGCUAACUCCGUGCCAGCAGCCGCGGUAAUACGGAGGAGGCAAGCGUUAUUCGGAAUUAUUGGGCGUAAAGCGUCCGCAGGGGGCGCAUCAAGUCUGCUGUUAAAGGUCGGAGCUUAACUCCGGUAAGGCAGUGGAAACUGGUGCGCUAGAGGGCGACAGGGGUAGAGGGAAUUCCCAGUGUAGCGGUGAAAUGCGUAGAUAUUGGGAAGAACACCGGUGGCGAAGGCGCUCUACUGGGUCGCGCCUGACCCUCAGGGACGAAAGCU
rnacentral:rRNA from 1 species